AGGUGGGAUGAGGAAUACAAGGAGGACAUUCCUACAGAUAAGAGUCCAGCAGGCGCCUUCCCCAGGUACUUACAGUGUCCCCCAGUACUCAGAUACCCCCAGGACUUACAUUAGGAUCAAACUGUGUAACAGCCGGACCAUCCCUUGAAGAAUAAUACAAAGCACAUAUCCCAACACAAGCAGAUGACUGUACUUGGCGCUUGAAGAAACAUCUCAUAUCUACAUAUUAUAAUGCAGAUGAUCCAGGUGUCAUAUCAGAUACAUAUGAAGAACGUGCCAUUAUCCCAGAUGUACCCUCAGA